GAUGAAGAACGUAGUGAAAUGCGAUAAGUAAUGUGAAUUGCAGAAUUCAGUGAAUCAUCGAAUCUUUGAACGCACAUUGCGCCCGCCAGCAUUCUGGCGGGCAUGCCUGUUCGAGCGUCAUUUCAACCCUCGAGCCCCCCCGGGGGCCUCGGUGUUGGGGGACGGCACACCAGCCGCCCCCGAAAUGCAGUGGCGACCCCGCCGCAGCCUCCCCUGCGUAGUAGCACGCACCUCGCACCGGAGCGCGGAGGCGGUCACGCCGUAAAACGCCCAACUUUCUUAGAGUUGACCUCGGAUCAGGUAGGAAUACCCGCUGAACUUAAGCAUAUCAAUAAGCGGAGGA
rnacentral:misc_RNA from 1 species